UACGUAGGGAACAAGCGUUAUCCGGAUUUAUUGGGUGUAAAGGGUGCGUAGACGUGAAGGCAAGUUGGUUGUGAAAUCCCUCGGCUUAACUGAGGAACUGCAACCAAAACUAUCUUUCUUGAGUGCAGGAGAGGAAAGAGGAAUUCCUAGUGUAGCGGUGAAAUGCGUAGAUAUUAGGAGGAACACCAGUGGCGAAGGCGUCUUUCUGGACUGUAACUGACGUUGAGGCACGAAAGUGUGGGGAGCAAAC
rnacentral:rRNA from 1 species